AUUGAACGCUGGCGGCAGGCCUAACACAUGCAAGUCGAACGAGUGGCGGACGGGUGCGUAAUGUCUGGGAAACUGCCCGAUGGAGGGGGAUAACUACUGGAAACGGUAGCUAAUACCGCAUACCAUCGGAUGUGCCCAGAUGGGAUUAGCUAGGAGGUGGGGUAACGGCUCACCUAGGCGCCGAUCCCUAGCUGGUCGUAGAGGAGGACCAGCCACACUGGAACGGAGACACGGUCCAGACUCCUACGGUAGGCAGAAUGGGGGAAUAUUGCACAAUGGGCGCACGCCUGAUGCAGCCAUGCCGCGUGUAUGAAGAAGGCCUUCGGGUUGUAAAGUACUUUCAGCGAGGAGGCGUUACUCGCAGAAGAAGCACCGGCUAACUCCGUGCCAGCAGCCGCGGUAAUUC
rnacentral:rRNA from 1 species